rnacentral:rRNA from 1 species
GGGGUAACGGCCCAACAAGGCGACGAUGCGUAGGGGUUCUGAGAGGAAGGUCCCCCACACUGGUACUGAGACACGGACCAGACUCCUACGGGAGGCAGCAGCGAGGAAUAUUGGUCAAUGGCCGCAGGGCUGAACCAGCCAAGUCGCGUGAGGGAUGACGGUCCUAUGGAUUGUAAACCUCUUUUGUCAGGGAGCAAAGGACGCCACGUGUGGCGUUUUGCGAGUACCUGAAGAAAAAGCAUCGGCUAACUCCGUGCCAGCAGCCGCGGUAAUACGGAGGAUGCGAGCGUUAUCCGGAUUUAUUGGGUUUAAAGGGUGCGCAGGCGGAAUGUCAAGUCAGCGGUAAAAUUUCGGGGCUCAACCCCGUCGUGCCGUUGAAACUGGCGUUCUUGAGUGAGCGAGAAGUAUGCGGAAUGCGUGGUGUAGCGGUGAAAUGCAUAGAUAUCACGCAGAACUCCGAUUGCGAAGGCAGCAUACCGGCGCUCAACUGACGCUCAUGCACGAAAGCGUGGGUAUCGAACAGGAUUAGAUACCCUGGUAGUCCACGCAGUAAACGAUGAAUACUAACUGUCCGGGCCGAUUGAGGUCUGG